rnacentral:rRNA from 1 species
GUCCAGACUCCUACGGGAGGCAGCAGUGGGGAAUAUUGCACAAUGGGGGAAACCCUGAUACAGCGACGCCGCGUGAGCGAUGAAGUAUUUCGGUAUGUAAAGCUCUAUCAGCAGGGAAGAAAAUGACGGUACCUGACUAAGAAGCCCCGGCUAACUACGUGCCAGCAGCCGCGGUAAUACGUAGGGGGCAAGCGUUAUCCGGAUUUACUGGGUGUAAAGGGAGCGUAGACGGCAUGGCAAGUCAGAUGUGAAAGCCCGGGGCUCAACCCCGGGACUGCAUUUGAAACUGUCAGGCUGGAGUGCAGGAGAGGUAAGUGGAAUUCCUAGUGUAGCGGUGAAAUGCGUAGAUAUUAGGAGGAACACCAGUGGCGAAGGCGGCUUACUGGACUGUAACUGACGUUGAGGCUCGAAAGCGUGGGGAGCAAACAGGAUUAGAUACCCCCGUAU